UACGGGGGGGCAAGCGUUGUUCGGAAUUACUGGGCGUAAAGGGCUCGUAGGCGGCCAACUAAGUCAGACGUGAAAUCCCUCGGCUUAACCGGGGAACUGCGUCUGAUACUGGGUGGCUUGAAUCCGGGAGAGGGAUGCGGAAUUCCAGGUGUAGCGGUGAAAUGCGUAGAGAUGUGGAGGAACACCGAUGGCGAAGGCAGCCCCCUGGGCUAACACUGACGCUCAUGCACGAAAGCGUGGGGAGCAAACAGG
rnacentral:rRNA from 1 species